rnacentral:rRNA from 1 species
UACGUAGGGCGCAAGCGUUGUCCGGAAUUAUUGGGCGUAAAGAGCUCGUAGGCGGUUUGUCGCGUCUGCCGUGAAAGUCCGGGGCUCAACUCCGGAUCUGCGGUGGGUACGGGCAGACUAGAGUGAUGUAGGGGAGACUGGAAUUCCUGGUGUAGCGGUGAAAUGCGCAGAUAUCAGGAGGAACACCGGUGGCGAAGGCGGGUCUCUGGGCAGUAACUGACGCUGAGGAGCGAAAGCGUGGGGAGCGAACAGG